rnacentral:rRNA from 1 species
UACGUAGGGUGCAAGCGUUGUCCGGAAUUAUUGGGCGUAAAGAGCUCGUAGGCGGUUUGUUGCGUCGGCUGUGAAAUCCCGAGGCUCAACCUCGGGUCUGCAGUCGAUACGAGCAAACUAGAGUGUUGCAGGGGAGACUGGAAUUCCUGGUGUAGCGGUGAAAUGCGCAGAUAUCAGGAGGAACACCGGUGGCGAAGGCGGGUCUCUGGACCGGAACUGACGCUGAGGCGCGAAAGCGUGGGGAGCAAACGGG